GGGUGCCUGGCCGUGUUCGAAAAGAGGUGGGGCAAAGGGAGAAUUCGCAAGGGGGCGGGGCUGGAGAGGCUGAGUAAGAAGAAGGUUUGGAUGCUAAAGGAACCGACAAGAGGGUGCGUCAUGGAAGGGGUGGGUCCACCGAGGAUGGACCUCCUGGGCUGGCGGAGGGAAGGAGAGGGUCCAGCAAAGAGUCCUCGACCUCCGUCGGAAAUGGGGAACGUGCAGUCGGAGCCAUCCGCGGGCGGGGGCUCCCGAAAAGAACAGGCCUCGGACCGCGCCUCUGACUCCCGCCGGACGUCCCUGGUGGAGCCCGAGGUGACCCCCUCCUCCCCGGCCAUGCGCCUGGCUCGAGGGCUGGGCGUCUGGUUCCCUGGCAGCUCCGCGCCCCCGGGACUCCUGGUACCCCCGGAGCCCCAGGCCUCACCCUCACCCCUGCCCCUGACCUUAGAACUGCCCUUGCCAGUGACGCCCCCUCCAGAGGAGGCGGCUGCAGCCGCAGUCUCCACACCACCCCCGCCCCCAGUGGGGACCCUGCUGCCCGCGCCGUCUAAGUGGCGAAAACCCACGGGCACUGCGGUGCCCCGGAUCCGCGGCCUGUUGGAGGCGAGCCAUCGCGGACAGGGCGACCCUCCGAGCCUCCGCCCGCUGCCACCGCUGCCCAGGCAACUAACUGAAAAGGACCCUGUCCCGAGAGCCCCAGCCCCUCCUCCUCCGACGCCCCUGGAGCCACGAAAGCCACCACCACUGCCACCUUCAGACCGGCAGCCCCCAAACCGCAGAAUCACUCCAGCUCUGGCCACAUCUGCCACAAGCCCCACAGAAAGCCAGGCCAGGCACAUCGGCGAGGGUCAGACGGCCGGUGGGGCCUGCGGAGGGGCUCCUCCCCAAGCGGGCGAAGGCGAAAUGGCUCGGUCUGCGGCUUCCGAGUCCGGCCUGAGCCUGCUAUGUAAAGUCACCUUCAAGUCCGCACCCCCUUUGUGCCCUGCGGCAGCCUCGGGUCCCUUAGCUACCAAAGCCUCGCUCGGGGGCGGUGGAGGCGGAGGACUCUUCGCUGCUUCAGGUGCCAUCUCUUACGCUGAGGUCCUGAAACAGGGACCCCUCCCACCUGGAGCUGCUCGUACCCUGGGAGAGGUCCCUCGUGCGGCACAGGAAACGGAGGGAGGGAAUGGAGACGGCGAAGGGUGUUCUGGUCCCCCCGCGGCGCCUGCGUCCCACGCCCGGGCCCUACCCCCGCCUCCCUACACCACAUUCCCAGGCUCAAAGCCCAAAUUCGACUGGGUUAGCCCUCCCGAUGGCCCUGAACGCCACUUUCGCUUCAAUGGGGCUGGCGGAGGCGUCGGGGCUCCCAGACGGCGCGCGGCUGCGCUCUCUGGACCGUGGGGCUCCCCUCCGCCACCACCAGGGCAGGCUCACCCAACUCCGGGGCCCCGGAGGCCCGCGCCUGCCCUGCUGGCGCCGCCUAUGUUCAUCUUCCCGGCGCCCACCAAUGGCGAGCCCGUGCGCCCUGGGCCACCGGGUCCACAGCAGUUGUUGCCGCGACCGCCACCGCCCACGCCACCAGCCACGCCGCCACCAGUGCCGCCACCCACACCGCAGUCUCCAGUGCUCCAGCCAACGCCGCUGCCGGUGGCCCGUCCACCCACCCCAUGCUCUGGCCAUGUGGAGUCAGCCCUGGCUCCCGCCCCAGUCCCUGUGAUGCCCCCUGCCUUGGCUGCCGAACAGGCCCAGGCACCGGCCCAGGCCCCAUCCCCAGCUCCAGCUCCCAUCACCGCCGAUCCAUCACCGCCUGCGCCCCCACCCAUCAAGGCUCGCACGCGCAGAAACAAGGGUCCCCGCGCGGCCCGUGGAGUGACCCGUGAGGAUGGCGCCCCUGGAGAUGGUCCUCGCGAACGGACUGCAGCUACCGUGACUGACAGCAGCGGUGGAGGGGGUGGUGGCAGUGGGGCCCUUACAGCUGGGGCAGCUAGCUCGGGCGCCGCGCGCCACUGGCCGCCCUUCCAAGUGCUUAACUCUUGUCCCUGCAAGUGUUACUGCCGCCACCAGCCGCGUCAUCGCAGACUGCCCCGCAACGUGUCUGCCUGACCCUCAAGCUGACCUGUGGCCCUCCAGCUACCCUGGAGCCAUCAGGGAGGGAAGCUGGUUCCAGCUGGCCUAACCUUAUUCAUUGCCUUGACACCCCCCCCACACCCGUGCCUGACAGCACCAAAUGGGGCCAUGUUCCAAGCUCUUCAGGGUCGGCAGGAAGAUGGCAUCAAAGGGGCUGAGCACACCCACCAACCACCUGAGCGAGCCACCCUGGGUCGCCACCAUCAAGCUCGCUGGCUC